GGUGGCUCAGUGGUAGAGCGCUUGUCUUGCAUGCAUGAGGCCCUGGGUCAAUUCCUCAGCACCA
rnacentral:tRNA from 1 species